CCUACGGGGGGCAGCAGUGAGGAAUAUUGGUCAAUGGGCGCGAGCCUGAACCAGCCAAGUAGCGUGAAGGAUGACUGCCCUACGGGUUGUAAACUUCUUUUAUAAAGGAAUAAAGUGCGGCACGUGUGCCUUUUUGUAUGUACUUUAUGAAUAAGGAUCGGCUAACUCCGUGCCAGCAGCCGCGGUAAUACGGAGGAUCCGAGUGUUAUCCGGAUUUAUUGGGUUUAAAGGGAGCGUAGAUGGGUUGUUAAGUCCGUUGUGAAAGUUUGCGGCUCAACCGUUGAAUUGCAAUUGAUACUGGCAGCCUUGAGUGCAGGUGAGGUAGGCGGAAUUCGUGGUGUAGCGGUGAAAUGCUUAGAUAUCACGAAGAACUCCGAUUGCGAAGGCAGCAUACUAAACUGCCACUGACAUUGAUGCUCGAAAGUGUGGGUAUCAAACAGGAUUAGAUACCCCGGUAGUC
rnacentral:rRNA from 1 species